rnacentral:lncRNA from 1 species
UUGGUGAUCUUAUUUAGUUUUCCAUGUACAAUUAUGUCUGCUAAGUUUCUAUCUCUUCGAUAAGCUACUAGUGGUGGUUCUGGAAAUAUUUCUUUCAUCAAGUUACAGUUAUGUAAAAUAUUAAUUCUUUUUUUCACAAUGUCAUGAAUAUCAGGUAGUAAAUCAGUAAAGGUUACAACAAGAGGUAUGCGUUCUGAUGUUUUUUUAAUUUUAUUUUUUCUCUGUAAUAACUCUUUUCUAUUUAAGUCGUCUGCUCUUUUUAGUUGGUUUUCAAUAAAUUUUCCAUUAUAGCCUCUUUUUCGCAGUUGUAAUUUUAGUUCUUGUCUAUGUUUUUGAUAGUCAUCUUGAUUUUCACAAAUUCUUCUUAAUCGUAAUGCUAAACCAUAAGGAAUUGCCUUUUUUACAUUUUUUGGAUGGCAUGAUUUGCUGUGAACAUAUAUAUGUUUAUCAGUUGGCUUUGUAUAAAGGUCUGUUGUUAAUUUACUAUUUUUUAUUUUCACAAGUGUAUCUAAGAAUUCAAUCUGAUUGCUGUUGUACCUAAGUUCCACCUUUAUUUUGUCAUUUAUUGAGUUUGCAAAGUCCAUAAAUUCAUUGAGUUUUUGUUCGCCAUGAGUCCAAAUUCCAAAACCAUCAUCAAUGAAGCGUUUAUAAAAUAAUGGUUUCUCUUUGAAUUU